AGCUUUGCGCAGUGGCAGUAUCGUAGCCAAUGAGGUUUAUCCAAGGCGCGAUUAUUGCUAAUUGAAUUAUUCUUAAACUUCAUUAUUUAGAAGAUUUAUGCCCAGUGAGACAUAACAUUGGUAAUACAUGUUAUUGU